UCCUUCUUAGCUCAGUCGGUAGAGCGCGUUGUUAGCAUUGGUGAUGUGGUGGAAUGAAAGAAGAUAUAGAUCCCAAUUACGAGGUCAGCCGUUCAAAUCGGCUAGAAGGAA
rnacentral:tRNA from 1 species